UUUCCCUUGAAAUCCGCUUCAGUCAUUAUUAUUUUUCAUUGUAUGAUAACCCGGGCUAUCUCUUUGCAGAGAGGUUUUGAUCUCUUAAACCUCUGGCGCCUUCCGACAGGCCAUCAUCUCUUCUAUCUGUGACAAUGUUCAGUUCAUCGAUUACGAAACGUUACUGUGACGUCAGACGGAUCCGCUUUGUAGAACUGAGGUGUAAAAAAAAAAAAAAAAAGAAAAAAAAACUAUCUGAGGACAGCAUCUUCUAUUUACCAAGACGCUCUCCAGAUGGGCUGUUUCGGUCGUCUUCGGUUACAAGUUUGCGGAUUGAGUAGUCGUCAUUUCAUGUAUGAAUAUGUAUGGAUUUGGUUAAUCGAUGCACCAGCAGACAAUACGUAAAGAAUUGGUCUUAUCUCGAGCCACCCUACAA